UACGUAGGGUGCGAGCGUUGUCCGGAAUUAUUGGGCGUAAAGAGCUUGUAGGCGGUUUGUCGCGUCUGCUGUGAAAAUCCGGGGCUCAACCCCGGACUUGCAGUGAGUACGGGCAGACUAGAGUGUGGUAGGGGAGACUGGAAUUCCUGGUGUAGCGGUGAAAUGCGCAGAUAUCAGGAGGAACACCGGUGGCGAAGGCGGGUCGCUGGGCCGAUACUGACGCUGAGGAGCGAAAGCGUGGGGAGCAGACAGG
rnacentral:rRNA from 1 species